rnacentral:rRNA from 1 species
CCUACGGGUGGCAGCAGUGAGGAAUAUUGGUCAAUGGACGAAAGGCUGAACCAGCCAAGUAGCGUGAAGGAAGACUGCCCUAUGGGUUGUAAACUUCUUUUAUAUGGGGAUAAAGUUUUCCACGUGUGGGCUUUUGUAUGUACCAUAUGAAUAAGGAUCGGCUAACUCCGUGCCAGCAGCCGCGGUAAUACGGAGGGUCCGAGCGUUAUCCGGAUUUAUUGGGUUUAAAGGGAGCGUAGGCGGAUUGUUAAGCGAGUUGUGAAAGUUUGCGGCUCAACCGUACAAUUGCAGUGGAAACUGGCAGUCUUGAGUACAGGAGAGGUGGGCGGAAUUCGUGGUGUAGCGGUGAAAUGCUUAGAUAUCACGAAGAACUCCGAUUGCGAAGGCAGUCCACUGGACUGGAACUGACGCUGAGGCUCGAAAGUGUGGGUAUCAAACAGGAUUAGAUACCCCAGUAGUC